CGUGUCAUGGCCCGAUAGUCGCCGCUGGCCCCGCGAUUGCCAGCGAUUGCUGAGCGGUCGCUCGCGAGUCGUUCGACCCCCAAAUUCGACCGAGGUCGAGGGUGUCUCCAGCGACGGGUCCCGACGGAUCGCAGAGGUGUCCCGCCAUGGUCAGGAGUCGACGCGGACGGGGAGCGGUGUCGCGUCGAACGUGACCGAUGAGGACCGUACCGUGCUCGCUGGAUGAAAGUGCGCAUCCCGGGGGCCGCCGGCGGCGCGAGAUAAACGAUGUUCGGCAAAAAACUUCACGUGGACGUCAAAAAGUCUACGCUCAAAAUUCAGGAUGUAAAGAAAGACAGCGCUACCAGGUUUAAGCACCUGAAGAUCGUGCUCGAAAAUGUUGACAUUGACGAAGCAAAAGGAUUUUUUGAGGGCAACUUCAGUCACGUUUAUUUUAUCCUGUAUGACUGUUUCGUGUCUGCCGAAGCAAAUCUACGACAACGAGUGCAUAAAGCACACAGAGAGGAGUUGGAGCAAGUUUUGCAACUACUGGAAAAAGUCCUGACGUUGCUUCCCGAAUUACUGAACAGACGGUGGCAGUGUCAUAGUAUAGCAAGGAUAUUACACAAGCUCCUUCACCCAGGAAAUAGUUGGAAAUUGCGUAGACAAGCCAUUAGGUACUUUAUACUCUGGUAUCAAGCACUAGGUGAUAACGCUCCUGAUCACAUACACCGAAUGUUCGUUAGCUUGGUACCUGGUUUCCCUCCGAGCCAACAUCUCGCUCAUCAAAAUGACCGUAAAAUCGAAGGCAAACGCGAGAAACCCCCUAGAACGAUCAAUUGCGAGGAGAAGGAAAAAAGGGAAUUCUAUGAUACCCAUUUGGGACAAAGCAUCUUUCACGAUGGUUGUCCUGCCCAGGGUCCUGUCGGUCAAGUCGACAACGGGCCGGUAUUGCCACCGCAAAGUGGCGAAAAGCCCUUGGAUAACGAGACCGUUAGAUUCCUGGAAUCCCUCCUCGAGUUCAUGGUGACGCAAGUCGUAAAGAUCGAAUGGAGGGACAAACACACGAGACAAUACAAGGCCUUUCAGUUUUUGUUGGAACGAUUUAAGGCCACUUAUCUGCACUACAUUUGUCCCGAUUUUAAUGAGAAUUUCUCGCUGUACAAACCCAAUCUGGAGUUACCGGUGUUGCGGAAACCUUCCGCUCAAAGUCAGGACAAUUACGUGCUCUGUAAAGUAGCCCUCGUUAAAUGGAUAGCCAGUUUUACUCACAUCACCAGGAAGGAUGGCCCCUUUGCACACCUGUCGCAGAGCACAAGUCCGAGCGAUGAAAACGCGACAGAGUCGGAGCUACGCCGAGUUUCGGUUACUCAAAAUUCCAGCGACCCGAAUGCGCACUCGCCCGAGUCGAGUCUGUCGUCUCAGCACGAGAGUCAAAAUCAAAGUCAAGAGGACAGUGCGGUGUCUGCACUCGCUCUCGUAAGGGAGGUCCUUUAUGGAAGUCGCGACAACGUGAACUUCGUUCACGAGUUGUACAGGCAGGCGUUUCUCUUGGACUUUACUCAUGCCGGGGCGAUACGGAAAGCCAUUGCGGUGUAUAAGGACUGGAUACAAAUGAACGAAAUACCACCCUUUCUGCUGGAACCGUUGGAUGGGCACAAGGACCGAGACACCGAGGACGGUCAAAAGAAAGAACUCGAUACCGAUAGGAGCCCACCCGAGAGCUAUCGACAACCGCGGCUAAGAAACGACUCAUAUCUCGGAGCGAUACAUCGCGAGAAUUUAUUUGUGAGAGCGGGUUUACAAAAUGUCUUGCAGGUAUUUAUAACGCAGGCAUCGAAUGUCUUCUUCCUAGAGAGCCCGGGAGGGAAUGCGAACGCUGCCCUUCUCGAAGAACAAACCGACAGCUGUAAAAGAGUUUUGAACGUGUAUCGCUACGUCGUUAUGCAUGCCAGACUUGAGCCUGCCACUUGGGAACAAUUGCUCAGGGUGCUGCUGCAAAUCACCGCGCUGGUAUUGGAUGGGAAGGCGCUGCGGCGGAAACACCACGAGGGAAUAGGUGGAAAGUUAGCGCCCGCCAUCUUUCAGACGUUGAUCGUCACGUGGAUAAAGGCAAAUCUGAACGUUGUAAUUUCCGCGCAGCUCUGGGACCAAUUUCUCGAGGUGCUGACAUCUCUCACGCAAUGGGAAGAAUUGAUUCAGGAGUGGGCGAAAACAUUGGAUACUCUAACGAGGGUUUUGGCAAGACACGUGUACAACCUGGAUUUGAAUGACUUGCCGCUAGACAGACUUAGCGAACAAAAGUCAAAGAGACGCCGAGGCGUCGGGAGUCGGGCCGCAUCGGCAGGAAGUGUGCAACCUCCCCGCAGAGGAAGCGUCGACCAGGAGAUCAAUGUUAUCUCGAAGGACCACGUCUCCGAUCAUCCUUUAAGAGACCCAAGGAAGAUCAGGCCGUUGCCGAGGAGCGCCAGUGACAACUCAAUUUACGUCGGUAAGAGUCGCAACAAGAUGCACAAGGGACGAACGCAUUCUACCAAUGCCGGCGUUCCAGCUAUUCCGACUUUUAUAGAGCAAGAUAUGGCCAGGAUGGUUCGAUCUAGUGGCUUCAGAGUCUCGGGAUCCAGCACGAAAUUGUCGCCGAGCAGACGUGCUAGGUCCUUGGACAGCGUCGUCGUGAUGGACAGCGAUCCUCCGACUCCUCGAUGCCCCUCUCCGACACCGAGCAGCGGUGUCGACAGUAACAAGGAUAGUCCCAUUCAGAUCGAAAAUAUCGACGGCAGCAGCAUAGGUAUCUAUACAAAUGAUGCGUCGGAGAGAAGGUCCGUCAUGGCCGGAGGUGGAGUCCGCGGCUGGUUACCGGAUGUUGCGGUCGUACUGUGGCGACGAAUGUUAUCGGCCCUUGGAGACGUGAACAGUAUUCAAGAUCCCACUCUUCAUGGCAGAGUCAUGGAUUACCUUGUGCAACUUACGCAAACUAUGAUUAAGAUACGGAUGAAUCAAGGCGUUUCCGGUGACAACCAAGCGACUCCACCGGCCCCUGAACUUGUCCCACCGUUGACGGUCAUAGCUCCAUGGUGCUUUAAGGCCAUCCAAUUGCCCCAGCAAUACGAGGUGGGAAAACUGGCAGCAUAUCGGUUGAUUUGUAUGCUAACUGUUCAACCGUUGGAUAUUCCUUUGCCGAAACAACACUUGACUCUCUUCUAUAGAGCCGUGCAUACCGGUAUCGUUAGCAACGAUAUCAAGGUAUUGCAUACGAUUAUUAAGCAUACAGGACCGAGGUUAUUCAGCUUAAAACUUCCCGGAUCCAGCCUCUUAAUUUAUGAUUACAUUCACUCGGCUAGCGUGAUUCUAAACAGUCAAGAUAUAGAGGCGCCGAGAACCGAAGCUGUUUCGAUACUAGGGUCGUUGCUAUCGCUUCCUUCUACCGUGACAAAAUUGCCUGUCUUGCAGCCGAAUGGAACGGACGUGUCAACCAUAACUUGUCCUGAUAUCAAGGAGCACAUAGUGACGAUUCUCUUAAAGACUUGCAGACAGGAACCUACGGGAGUCGCAAGAUGUGUCGCUAUUUCCAGUGUCGGUAUGUUCGUCUAUCGGGAGUUAUGUUGCAAAUCGCAGCAUCCAAAAAUACCGGAAGCUAUUACGGUACUCCUCUUGGCGAUUACGGCUACGCAUCCGACCGUGGCUCAAGUUGCGUGCGAUUGUCUUCUUCUGCUGUGCGACGAGGCGGACACGUUGUUAGAAUUUUACCCCAACAUUCCUGCUAAAAUUAUUCAGGUAUUAUCGGAGACACUUGGCCGUAGAGCCGGACGCGAGGAACGCGCACCUCUAAAUAUAUCCAUGUUAUUUUGUUUGGGAGAGUGGGCGAUGCAUCUGGGACCUGGCGUGCUGUUGCGUGAAUUCCAAGGAACAUCCUUGUUAUUGACCUUGUUUACAGUAUUGGACAACUUGGUACAACGCAAAGUCGACACUGAUUUUUGGGAUACGGAGAGGAAUCAUCAGCACGAUGGCGACUUCGACCCGGACAUCAGUCUUGACAAUUUACUCGACGAAACGCACGGAAAGUCCCCUCGACGCGGAAACGUUCGAUCAGUUCGAUUGGCAGCUAAAAUGGUCUUAAUGCAUUUGGUGAACCACUUGGGCCACUUCCCGAUGGGCAUCGGUGCGGCACGGUUGUCAUCCAUGGUCGUGGAGCUGGACGACGUGCCCGGCAUAGACAGCGACGAGCUCUCUUCGGCGGUUUUCCAAGCGCCGAAUGUGCAGCUCUUGAUGCUCUCUAAUUCCAUUAUAAUGUCGUUAAUCGAAUUGGCCGCUUUAGACGCUCCUGGCGGUGGAGGUGUUACCGCCGGGUUGACGACUGCUCCGUCUACGGUCAGAGUCUUAUUGAGAGAUUUAGCUGGUAAAGCUUCCUGGGACAGUUCGAUCUUGUACAGUCAACCAUUUACCGAGGAUGAUUCAACGACGCCAUAUCCCCCAUCCGUAGUCGAAUGGAGUGGCGACUUCCAUAGAAAAAAUCCGUCCAAUGUUUCGUCGUUGCAAAGCUGCCUACCUCGCCACACUCUGAGACACCGCGACCCCAACGUUCUUCCUACAUACGAAAACGCUGCAAGUGACAUGGAUAAUUUAGACGAUCUUCUGCAGUAUAUAGGUCACACGAGUCCGGAAGUCUUGACAAAUCCAGAAUUAUCGCUCAAUGCCCCAGCCAGCCCACCUCAGGGACAUUACUUCGAAGGCGAAGUCAUCGCCACCAUACUGAACCAGAGAAACAUAGAACGGGAUCAUAUCGAUAGUUGUAGCCAGCAUGUCAGUACAUGGGUUCCCGCGGCGAAUCCGCCGAUAUCUCGUAUUCCGCCUGCGCCUUUUCACCACUGCCGACUUCUAUUUUCGCAUCUCGGCCUGUCCGGAUGGGAGCAACGAAGAAAGCUGCAUCUACUCUCGAAAAACGAGAAACUCCUGCGGGAAUUGCGUAACUUAGACGGACAGCGGUCUCGAGAAACUCACAAGAUGGCUGUCAUAUACGUUAGUCAAGGCCAAGAGGACAAGAAUUCGAUAUUAAACAACGUCGCGGCUAGCAAAGAGUAUGAAAGUUUCGUCGCUAGACUGGCGUGGGAGGUCGAGCUUGAAUCGCAUACUGGCUUCAUGGGAGGAUUGAUUCCCGGCAAAGCUUCUGGCGCCACAGCGCCGUACUACGCGACAUCCUUCACCGAAAUUCUUUUCCACGUUGCCACGAGAAUGCCGUCCGAUAGUCCCGAAAGCCUGCUGCAAAAAACUAGACACCUAGGGAACGAUGAAAUCCACAUUGUAUGGUCCGAGCACUGGCGGGAUUACCGCAGAGACAUCAUACCGACGGAAUUUUGCGACGUUUUGAUAGUAAUAUACCCACUACCGAAGAAACUGUUUAGGGUCCAGAUAUCGAGGAAAGCGGAGAUUCCCUUCUUCGGGCCGCUGUUCAACGAGUGCAUCGUCGAAGACGCCGUCUUGCCCGGAUUGGUCAGGGGAACCGCUCUGGCGGCUAGUAGAGCCAAGAGGUCGACCCUGACUUUGUACCAGCACUAUUACGAAGAGAGGGCGAGGUCCAUCGACACCGUUAUGAAGAACCACAAGGAGUCGACGACAUUCGAAGAGUUCGCCGCUAAUGUCUACUGUCCGGUGCAGCCACCGAGUCCCUUCAGCGGAGCGUCCUCCGUAUCCGGUUCGACGACCAGCGUGCAGUCGACGACAUCGACGAAUCUGGCAGCGGCGCUCAUAGACUCGCAUCAGGGCAGGCCUGGUCUCCGUAGUAAUUCCACGGCGAGCAGUGAAAACCGCGCGAACAGAGGUGACUAGCUCACUCCACUAACCCCCAUCCACUUUGUAACACCACCCAACCACCCCAAUUUCCGAUGGCAGUAGAGUGUGGUUUAGUGGCGAUACGCAGGACAGUGCGACCUUCCACGGGAUUUCACCGAGGCCCGUGAAAAAGA
rnacentral:misc_RNA from 1 species